rnacentral:rRNA from 1 species
UGGUACGGGCAGACUAGAGUGCAGUAGGGGAGACUGGAAUUCCUGGUGUAGCGGUGGAAUGCGCAGAUAUCAGGAGGAACACCGAUGGCGAAGGCAGGUCUCUGGGCUGUAACUGACGCUGAGGAGCGAAAGCAUGGGGAGCGAACAGGAUUAGAUACCCUGGUAGUCCAUGCCGUAAACGUUGGGCACUAGGUGUGGGGACCAUUCCACGGUUUCCGCGCCGCAGCUAACGCAUUAAGUGCCCCGCCUGGGGAGUACGGCCGCAAGGCUAAAACUCAAAGGAAUUGACGGGGGCCCGCACAAGCGGCGGAGCAUGCGGAUUAAUUCGAUGCAACGCGAAGAACCUUACCAAGGCUUGACAUGUUCUCGAUCGCCGUAGAGAUACGGUUUCCCCUUUGGGGCGGGUUCACAGGUGGUGCAUGGUUGUCGUCAGCUCGUGUCG